GGAUGCUUACACUGCAAGUGUAAGGGCGGGCCCAGGAGAAUCUGUUUUGGCGGUGAGUGGCGGACGGGUGAGUAAUACUCGGAAUUUGCCCAGUAGCGGGGGAUAAUACUCGAAAGAGUCGCUAAUACCGCAUACGUCCUACGGGGAAAGCAGGGGAUCGUAAGACCUCUCGCUAUCGGAGGGGCCGAGGUCGGAUUAGCUAGUUGGUGAGGUAAUGGCUCACCAAGGCUACGAUCCGUAGCUGGUUUGAGAGGAUGACCAGCCACACUGUGAGUGAGACACGGCCCAGACUCCUACGGGAGGCAGCAGUGGGGAAUCUUGGACAAUGGGGGAAACCCUGAUCCAGCCCUCCCGCGUGUAUGAUGAAGGCCUUCGGGUUGUAAAGUACUUUAGGUAGGGAAGAAGAGGAAUUCCCUAAUACGGGAUACUUCUGACGGUAUCUGCAGAAUAAGCACCGGCUAACUUCGUGCCAGCAGCCGCGGUAAUACGUAGGGUGCAAGCGUUAAUCGGAAUUACUGGGCGUAAAGCGUGCGUAGGCGGUUCGUUAAGUAAGAUGUGAAAUCCCAGGGCUCAACCUUGGAACUGCAUUUUUAUACUGGCGAGCUAGAGUAUGUCAGAGGGGGGUGGAAUUCCACGUGUAGCGGUGAAAUGCGUAGAUAUGUGGAGGAACACCGAUGGCGAAGGCAGACCCCCUGGGAUAAUACUGACGCUGAGAGACCAAAGGCGUGGGGAGCAAACAGGAUUAGAUACCCUGGGUAGUCCCCGCCCUAAACGAUGUCUACUAGCUUUUGGGGCCGUUAGGCCUUAGUAGCGCAGCUUACCCGUGAAGUUGACCGCCUGGGGAGUACGGUCGCAAGAUUAAAACUCAAAGGAAUUGACGGGGACCCGCACAAGCGGUGGAUGAUGUGGAUUAAUUCGAUGCAACGCGAAAAACCUUACCUACCCUUGACAUGUCUGGAAACCGAAGAAAUUUGGCCGUGCUCUCAGAGAACCGGAACAAGGUGCUGCAUGGCUGUCUCAGCUCGUGUCGUGAAUGUUGGGUUAAGUCCCGCAACGAGCGCAACCCUUGUCUUAGUUGCUCGCAAGAUGGUCUAAUGAGACUGACGGUGACGAUCAGAAGAAGGAGGGGAUGACGACAGUCCUCAUGGACCUUAUGGGUAGGGCUUCCACGUCAUACCUUGGUCGGGACUACGGUCGCCUACCCCUAGGGGGAGCUAUCUCAAAACCCCAUCGCAACCGGAUCGCAGUCUGUACUCGACUGCGUGAAUCGGAAUCCUAGUAUCGCGGAUCCAAUGCCGCGGUGAUACGUUCCCGGUCUUGGCACAGAGCCGUCCACCUGAGAGUGGGUUCACC
rnacentral:rRNA from 1 species